AUGAACGCUGGCGGCGUGCCUAACACAUGCAAGUCGAGCGAAGCACUUUGCUUAGAUUCUUCGGAUGAAGAGGAUUGUGACUGAGCGGCGGACGGGUGAGUAACGCGUGGGUAACCUGCCUCAUACAGGGGGAUAACAGUUAGAAAUGACUGCUAAUACCGCAUAAGACCACAGCACCGCAUGGUGCGGGGGUAAAAACUCCGGUGGUAUGAGAUGGACCCGCGUCUGAUUAGCUAGUUGGUAAGGUAACGGCUUACCACGGCGACGAUCAGUAGCCGACCUGAGAGGGUGACCGGCCACAUUGGGACUGAGACACGGCCCAAACUCCUACGGGAGGCAGCAGUGGGGAAUAUUGCACAAUGGGGGAAACCCUGAUGCAGCGACGCCGCGUGAGCGAAGAAGUAUUUCGGUAUGUAAAGCUCUAUCAGCAGGGAAGAAAAUGACGGUACCUGACUAAGAAGCACCGGCUAAAUACGUGCCAGCAGCCGCGGUAAUACGUAUGGUGCAAGCGUUAUCCGGAUUUACUGGGUGUAAAGGGAGCGUAGACGGAUGGGCAAGUCUGAUGUGAAAACCCGGGGCUCAACCCCGGGACUGCAUUGGAAACUGUUCAUCUAGAGUGCUGGAGAGGUAAGUGGAAUUCCUAGUGUAGCGGUGAAAUGCGUAGAUAUUAGGAGGAACACCAGUGGCGAAGGCGGCUUACUGGACAGUAACUGACGUUGAGGCUCGAAAGCGUGGGGAGCCAACAGGAUUAGAUACCCUGGUAGUCCACCCCGUAAACAAUGACUACUAGGUGUCGGGUGGCAAAAGACCAUUCGGUGCCGCAGCAAACGCAAAUAAGUAGUCCACCUGGGGGAGUACGUUCGCAAGAAUGAAACUCAAAGGAAUUGACGGGGACCCGCACAAGCGGUGGAGCAUGUGGUUUAAUUCGAAGCAACGCGAAGAACCUUUCCUGCUCUUGACAUCCCGCUGACCGGACGGUAAUGCGUCCUUCCCUUCGGGGCAGCGGAGACAGGUGGUGCAUGGUUGUCGUCAGCUCGUGUCGUGAGAUGUUGGGUUAAGUCCCGCAACGAGCGCAACCCCUAUCUUUAGUAGCCAGCGGCCAGGCCGGGCACUCUAGAGAGACUGCCGGGGAUAACCCGGAGGAAGGUGGGGAUGACGUCAAAUCAUCAUGCCCCUUAUGAGCAGGGCUACACACGUGUUACAAUGGCGUAAACAAAGGGAAGCGAGACCGCGAGGUGGAGCAAAUCCCAAAAAUAACGUCUCAGUUCGGAUUGUAGUCUGCAACUCGACUACAUGAAGCUGGAAUCGCUAGUAAUCGCGAAUCAGAAUGUCGCGGGGAAUACGUUCCCGGGUCUUGUACACACCUCCCGUCACACCAUGGGAGUCAGUAACGCCGGAAGUCAGUGACCCAACCGUAAGGAGGGAGCUGCCGAAGGCGG
rnacentral:rRNA from 1 species